rnacentral:rRNA from 1 species
CGUACGGUGCGGAACACGUGUGCAACUNAGCUUUAUCUGGGAAUAGCUUNCGAAAGGAGAUAUACCCCAUAAUAUGUUUGAAUGGCUCAUUCGACAUUGAAAACUCCGGUGGAUAGAAUGGGCACGCGCAAGAAUUAAAUAAGUGGUGAGGUAACGGUCACCAAGUCUACGAUCUUUAGGGGGCCUGAGAAGGGUGAUCCCCCAAUUGGUACUGGAAACACGGACCAAANUCCUACGGGAGGCAGCAGUGAGGAAUAUUGGACAAUGGGUGAAGAAGCCUGAAUCCAAGCCAAUCCCGGUGAAAGGAACGAUUGCCCUAAUGGGUUGUAAAACUUCUUUGGUAUAGGGAUAAACCUACCCUCGUGAAGGGUAAGCUGAAGGUACUAUACGAAUAAGCACCGGCUAACUCCGUGCCAGCAGCCGCGGUAAUACGGAGGGUGCAAGCGUUAUCCGGAUUAUGGGGUUUAAAGGGUCCGUAGGCGGAAUCUGUAAGUCAGUGGUGAGAUCUCGCAGCUUAACUGUGAAGCUGCCAUUGAUACUGUAGGUCUUGAGUGUUGCUGAAGUUAGCUGGAAUAAGUAGUGUACGGUGAAAUGCUUAGA